AAAAAGGGUCAGUUGGCUAAAUAUGCCACGUCCAUCCUCGAUUGAUGGAUGCUGUAUGGCUAUCAAGACAUAUGGCUGACAUAAUUUCUGGGACUCAAUAGGGUUGGCUCGCCUAGCCGACCCUUCA
rfam:Cajanus cajan chromosome 9, whole genome shotgun sequence.